rnacentral:rRNA from 1 species
GAUGAACGCUGGCGGCGUGCCUAAUACAUGCAAGUCGAGCGAACAGACGAGGAGCUUGCUCCUCUGACGUUAGCGGCGGACGGGUGAGUAACACGUGGAUAACCUACCUAUAAGACUGGGAUAACUUCGGGAAACCGGAGCUAAUACCGGAUAAUAUAUUGAACCGCAUGGUUCAAUAGUGAAAGACGGUUUUGCUGUCACUUAUAGAUGGAUCCGCGCCGCAUUAGCUAGUUGGUAAGGUAACGGCUUACCAAGGCAACGAUGCGUAGCCGACCUGAGAGGGUGAUAGGCCACACUGGAACUGAGACACGGUCCAGACGCCUAAGGGAGGCAGCAGUAGGGAAUCUUCCGCAAUGGGCGAAAGCCUGACGGAGCAACGCCGCGUGAGUGAUGAAGGUCUUCGGAUCGUAAAACUCUGUUAUUAGGGAAGAACAAAUGUGUAAGUAACUAUGCACGUCUUGACGGUACCUAAUCAGAAAGCCACGGCUAACUACGUG